UAGGGAAUCUUCGGCAAUGGACGAAAGUCUGACCGAGCAACGCCGCGUGAGUGAAGAAGGUUUUCGGAUCGUAAAACUCUGUUGUUAGAGAAGAACAAGGAUGAGAGUAGAAUGUUCAUCCCUUGACGGUAUCUAACCAGAAAGCCACGGCUAACUACGUGCCAGCAGCCGCGGUAAUACGUAGGUGGCAAGCGUUGUCCGGAUUUAUUGGGCGUAAAGCGAGCGCAGGCGGUUUCUUAAGUCUGAUGUGAAAGCCCCCGGCUCAACCGGGGAGGGUCAUUGGAAACUGGGAAACUUGAGUGCAGAAGAGGAGAGUGGAAUUCCAUGUGUAGCGGUGAAAUGCGUAGAUAUUAAAAAGAAUACCGGUGGCGAAGGCGACUUACUGGGCUCAUUCUGACGCUGAGGAACGAAAGCGUGGGUAGCAAACAGG
rnacentral:rRNA from 1 species